rnacentral:rRNA from 1 species
UGGGGAAUCUUGCACAAUGGGGGAAACCCUGAUGCAGCGACGCCGCGUGAGCGAUGAAGGUUUUCGAAUCGUAAAGCUCUGUCCUAUGGGAAGAUAAUGACGGUACCAUAGGAGGAAGCCCCGGCUAACUACGUGCCAGCAGCCGCGGUAAUACGUAUGGACCGAGCGUUGUCCGGAAUCAUUGGGCGUAAAGGGUACGUAGGCGGCCUAGUAAGUUAGAAGUUAAAGAAUAUAGCUCAACUAUAUAAAGCUUUUAAAACUGCUAGGCUUGAGAGAUGGAAGGGAAAGUGGAAUUCCUAGUGUAGCGGUGAAAUGCGCAGAUAUUAGGAAGAAUACCGGUGGCGAAGGCGACUUUCUGGUCAUCAUCUGACGCUGAGGUACGAAAGCGUGGGUAGCAAACAGG